UACAGAGGGUGCAAGCGUUGUUCGGAAUCACUGGGCGUAAAGGGAGCGUAGGCGGCGUGGUAAGUCAGAUGUGAAAUCCCGGGGCUCAACCCCGGAACUGCAUCCGAUACUGCCAUGCUAGAGGAUUGGAGAGGUAGCUGGAAUUCUUGGUGUAGCAGUGAAAUGCGUAGAUAUCAGGAGGAACACCUGUGGCGAAAGCGGCGCACUGGACCACAACUGACGCUGAGGCGCGAAAGCUAGGGGAGCAAACAGG
rnacentral:rRNA from 1 species